ensembl:lincRNA
GAGUGCUGCUCUGGGGUGCUUUUCAAAAUCCAUGCGUCUCAUGAAUUAUGCUGCCAGAUCUAGGAGGAGCCAGUCCUCUUUGGAACUAGGUGAACUGGGCUAAUCAGAAACAGGCCCAUCUCAUCCGCCAGCCAGUUUGCUCCAGGGCCAGAGGAAAGCCAGGGCCUCUGGCUCCCACAUCCCAUGUGGCAACCAACCAUCAGGUUAUGCUUGGCUUUGCAACGAUCAGGAAAGGCCUCACGUCUGCCUAACUGCAAAACAAUUUGGUUGGCUUAUAAAUUGCUGCCUCUAUCAUGUGCUUCUGAAUUAAAAGGAACGGAUGGUUUUUAAAGGUUUAUCUGUUUCAUUAUUAAUGCGGAAUGACCUCCUGCUGACAAAUUUCGAUUUUCACACGGUUUCUUUGCUGAUGCAGUAUCUCUGCCACCCAUGCUCUAGGGCAGCGUGGAGCCACUUCAGAGCGUGCCUUUUGUGACCCAGCGCCCAGCAGGGUGUUCUUUUCUGAGUGCAAAGAGAGAAUCCACUGACCUCAUUUGCUUCCAUCCUGUGAACCUCUCAGUGGGUUUCAGAACACCCGGGUCUGAACAGAGAAGCUUCAGAAUACUUUGUCCGACUAGAGAACUUUUUUAUGGUGGGAGGAAAAAAUGUUGCCAGUCCCACUUCCCAGACACCUGGAAUUCAUGAAGUCUGAGGACUUCUUUCAUUUUACUUUCAACUAAAAGCUCUAGCACGAAACAGCAAAGGCUCACAGAACUAAAGAUCAGGAGGUGGCCCUGUGAGAGGGUAUUCGGCCUGGAUCCCUGGUGAAACUCCAUCACUGAGCAGGUCUGUGAUCGCCCUUGUGGUCUGCUUUCUGUAGAUAAUACUCAUAGACUAUGCUGCAUAAAUUCUCAGAUUAUUCAAAGAUGAACAAACAGUUCAAAUGGGCAGUUUUAUGUGUUUCACUCUCAACCCUUUCCUUUUUUCAGUAUGUCUCCCUCCUUUUUUCCUCUCAAGCAUAUCUACUUCAGAAAGCGUGGAAAGAAAAGAGCCUGGUGGGAAAAGUCUAUCAAGUGAUAAUGACGUGCCCUUAUGGAAAAAAUUCUGGGAUAAAACCCUCCAAAACCCCGCAAGGUGAAGCUCAUGUCAUCCAAAACCAAGGCAUGAGCCAGAGCCUAAAUAGAGGAAAGAAAAUAGAAGAGAGAAUUCUAGCGACAUGUCUGGUCAUCAUUCCAAGCAACCUGGCUGAACUUUUGCAUCGACAAACAAUUUUUUCCUGAGCAUUUUUAAAUUUACAAGCUGGUUUUCAACAAAGCUUUUCAAAAAGAAGUCUUUAUGAUGGUAAAUCUUUAAAAGAAAUGUGUUUUAGACCAAGAAAGGCAAACCUUUCAUGUCCUGUUUAGUCUCUAGCAUGCUUGUUUGCAAAACACAAGCUCCAGUCUGCAUGUUUCUGCAGUCAACUGUCUGUCUUAGAAAAUAUCUCAAAAUCAAUCUGUCCCCGUGUUUGCUUAUGAUUCUGCGGUAAUCCUCUGUUUAUAGUCAGAAGUUGUCAGGAGAACAUCAUGUAAGGCAUGGUAUGAAGACUUAAGAAAUCUUGAAAUCAGAAACUUCAAUUUUCUUUCUCUUGAAGUGUUUCUAAGGGAUGAAAAAUGAGAAAGGAAAUUAGCAUCUACUGUUACCUCAUUUAAUUCCUUCAACCAUCUUCAGGGUAUUAUUGUCUCCAAAAAGAAACCAAGGUUCAGAGAAGAGGACUCACUUGCCCUGUGACCUAUGACCAGGGGUCCCACGUUGGGACCCAGAAUUCUGACUCGAACCCAGUGCUGGCUCCCCUGUGUCCCAGGGAUGGGCAGGAUAAGAUGUUCUUUAAAACUUUGUUUGUUGGGCACCUCAAAAAACCCUUAUGAAUUAUUGCUUAAGUUAUUUUGGCAUAAUAAUGUCACUAAGUCCAUGAAAAUUAAACUUUUAGAAUCUCUGUUAUAUGGCUAGAUCAAUACUAAACUACCCCUUUUUUUCCAAGUCCCUGGAAAAAGUGAAAUUAUAAGUUUUGACUACAUGGGAGAGCUUUGGUGCCUCAUACACUUGCAUUAAAUGUAGUAUCUUUGAAAAUAAUAGAAUAUGUAUUUGUGAGAGUAAAAAUUUAUACAUGCAGCAGUCCAUAAGAGAAUUAGAUCCAGAAACUACAACUUGAAAGAGUUCUAAACUCUUAGAACAAAUUGAUUUAAAUUUGAAUAGUACUGAAUAUGAAUUGAUGGAAAGUGAAUAUUUAGAACCCCCUUUUGUGAAUUUCAGUAAGCUGACAUUUGUUAGCUCCUGACGCAGUAGCUUUUCUGAGUCAAGAACUGAAGGUACCUUGAAUUACCUGACAGAUAAUCAUACAGAGAUGUGAAGUCAAAUGUCAUAUUCCAUUAAGCCUAAUCUGCAGUUGCAGGAAGGGUGGACAAUCUUGCCUAAACAUUUGACAGAUUUGGAAUGUCUCUUGCCAUAGACAUUUAGCAUGAACCAGCUUCAUUGUCCUAGUAUCUGUCACACAGAAAUGGUCCCUUGCUCGGCUUCUAAUGGAUUUGCUGCAAAGGCUGUGAGGAAUGAGUCACACUCAGGGACACGAUGACACAGGAACAGCUUCUACAACACAAUCCUCUGCAAUAGAGAAAGCUGUGCCUCUCCGCAGGGACCUGCCUAUAAAGUUGGUCUUCUUUCCACUAAGGAGGCAUUCCUGAGAGCCCCCCAUAAAUUAAGGAGAACUUCUCUAGGUAGCUACUAAAAAAUAAGGCCAACAAACUAAAUCCUUGGGAUAUGAAAUAUUAAUGUGAUGGGAAUUACCUUAAUAGGAAACAAUUGAGUAUACACUGUAUUACAUAAGUGAGGCUUAAAAAAAAUAAUAUUGAGUUCCGGGCAUUUUUUUUCUUCCUUGGAAAAUGCCUUGAAAUCUUUUCCAUCAACACAGUCUAACAGUACAGGUUAUGGGUGACAUAUAGUUUCAAGGCAAAUUGCAACUUAGUUGGUCAAACUCUUUCAGUAGGAAAAAAAAUGACAAUUUGAAAGAGUUCUGGAAGGGCUAACACUAAACAGUUCCAUCUUGACCUCAAACCAACGCAAUCUGCAAACAAGUCAAUAUGUGAACCCAAAGGAAGAAUUCUGCCCCAGCCUAAGAAAGGGACAACUUUUCCUUCUCUGGAAUUGAAAUGUUCCAUGAAAUUAAAUCAUUGAUUAAAAGCUGGGGAGGCAAAGACUGUUGAAAUGUCAGUUAAGAUACUUUAGGCUGCAAAUCUGAUUCACCAUUGCUUAAACGAUAAGAAAUGGUAUCUGCACAGCUGGAAGUCCAGGAUGGGAUGGCUUCAAGUUUGGCUCUAUCCAGGGACUGUCUCUCAAUUUUCUGUUUAGUGGGUGUUGUCCUAGGCUGGCUUCACUCAAGGGGAUAAAAGUAAGUAUGGUCCUCCCAGGCCUUAUAUCCAUCUACACAACAUCCUGGGGAAGAGGUUUCUGGAACCUCUAGUACUAAUCCAUAUACCAUGGGAAUAACAGGUACUGAUUGGCUUCAACCUGAAUUCCUUAAAUUAAUUUUGUGAAAAGGAGGCUGGGAUGACCUUGAUUGAGUUAAAAUAGUCAGGGCUCCACCUGUGGAGUGGAGGAUGAGAUCAGUUUCCUACAAUCCACAUCCUACACAAUGGGUGAGGGAUGGAAGGAAUGCUGGAGACUACCACAUGCCCCCCGAUAUUCAUGAAAUCUUGGUCUUUUGUGUUUCACAAUAAACUCUUAAGAACAUUGUGGGUAUUUUAUGGAUGUGAAGGUUUUUCAGAGGAAUUUAUUGUAGGGAAAACAAAAAGAUCAAUGAGUUUAAGCUUUUAGGCUUAAACUCUCUCUGCUCCCCUGCAUUACACUUUUAUUCUUAUGCUGUGACAGCAGACCCUCCUCCCCU